rnacentral:rRNA from 1 species
UACGUAGGUGGCGAGCGUUGUCCGGAUUUACUGGGCGUAAAGGGAGCGUAGACGGCAAUGCAAGUCUGGAGUGAAAGGCGGGGGCCCAACCCCCGGACUGCUCUGGAAACUGUAUAGCUGGAGUGCAGGAGAGGUAAGUGGAAUUCCUAGUGUAGCGGUGAAAUGCGUAGAUAUUAGGAGGAACACCAGUGGCGAAGGCGGCUUACUGGACUGUAACUGACGCUGAGGCACGAAAGCGUGGGGAGCAAAUAGG